GAGUAGAGCGGCAGACGGGUGCGUAACACGUGGGUAAUGUACCCUGUGGUCUGGGAUAACCUUCCGAAAGGAGGGCUAAUACCGGAUAAGACCACGGAUUCCUCGGAAUCUGUGAGAAAAGGGGGCUUCGGCUCUCGUCAUGGGAUCAGCCCGCGGCCCAUCAGCUAGUUGGUGAGGUAACGGCUCACCAAGGCUACGACGGGUAGCUGGUCUGAGAGGAUGAUCAGCCACACUGGGACUGAGACACGGCCCAGACUCCUACGGGAGGCAGCAGUGGGGAAUAUUGGACAAUGGGCGAAAGCCUGAUCCAGCGACGCCGCGUGGGUGAUGAAGUUCUUCGGAACGUAAAGCCCUGUCAGGAGGGAAGAAAGGCCUCGGGCUAAUACCUCGAGGUCUUGACGGUACCUCCAGAGGAAGCACCGGCUAACUCCGUGCCAGCAGCCGCGGUAAU
rnacentral:rRNA from 1 species